rnacentral:rRNA from 1 species
GAUGAACGCUGGCGGCGUGCUUAACACAUGCAAGUCGAACGGGAUCCAAGGGGUGCUUGCACUUUUUGGUGAGAGUGGCGAACGGGUGAGUAACACGUGAGUAACCUGUCCUUUUCUUUGGGAUAAGCAUUCGAAAGGGUGUUUAAUACCUUAUGUUCUGUCUGCCUCGCAUGGGGUGGGUGGGAAAGGCUUUGGCCGGAUUUGGGUGGGCUCGCGGUCUAUCAGCUUGUUGGUGGGGUGAUGGCUUACCAAGGCUUUGACGGGUAGCCGGCCUGAGAGGGUGGUCGGUCACAUUGGGACUGAGAUACGGCCCAGACUCCUGCGGGAGGCAGCAGUGGGGGAUAUUGCACAAUGGGCGAAAGCCUGAUGCAGCGACGCCGCGUGGGGGAUGAAGGCCUGCGGGUUGUAAACUUCUUUUGCUCUGAACAAGGCAUGCCAGUGGGUGUGUUGAGUGUAGGGGUGGAUUAGCGCCGGCUAACUACGUG